rnacentral:rRNA from 1 species
UACGUAGGGGGCAAGCGUUGUCCGGAAUCAUUGGGCGUAAAGAGCGUGUAGGCGGUUCGAUAAGUCUGCUGUGAAAGUCCAAGGCUCAACCUUGGGAUGCCGGUGGAUACUGUCGAACUCGAGUCCGGAAGAGGAGUGUGGAAUUCCUGGUGUAGCGGUGAAAUGCGCAGAUAUCAGGAGGAACACCGGUGGCGAAGGCGGCUUCCUGGACCGACACUGACGCUGAGGCGCGAAAGCUAGGGGAGCAAACGGG